AUUGAACGCUGACGGCAUGCCUUACACAUGCAAGUCGAACGGCGGCACGGGAGCAAUCCUGGUGGCGAGUGGCGAACGGGUGAGUAAAGUAUCGGAACGUGCCCAGUCGUGGGGGAUAACGUAGCGAAAGUUACGCUAAUACCGCAUACGAUCUAUGGAUGAAAGCGGGGGAUCGCAAGACCUCGCGCGAUUGGAGCGGCCGAUAUCAGAUUAGGUAGUUGGUGGGGUAAAGGCUCACCAAGCCGACGAUCUGUAGCUGGUCUGAGAGGACGACCAGCCACACUGGGACUGAGACACGGCCCAGACUCCUACGGGAGGCAGCAGUGGGGAAUUUUGGACAAUGGGCGAAAGCCUGAUCCAGCCAUGCCGCGUGCAGGAUGAAGGCCUUCGGGUUGUAAACUGCUUUUGUACGGAACGAAAAGGUUUGGCCUAAUAAGCUGAGCUCAUGACGGUACCGUAAGAAUAAGCACCGGCUAACUACGUGCCAGCCGCCGCGGUAA
rnacentral:rRNA from 1 species